rnacentral:rRNA from 1 species
AUUGAACGCUGGCGGCAGGCCUAACACAUGCAAGUCGAGCGAGCGGCGGACGGGUGAGUAAUGUCUGGGAAACUGCCUGAUGGAGGGGGAUAACUACUGGAAAAGGUAGCUAAUACCGCAUACUAUCGGAUGUGCCCAGAUGGGAUUGGCUAGUAGGUGGGGUACAGGCUCACCUAGGCGACGAUCCCUAGCUGGUCUGAGAGGAAGACCAGACACACUGGAACUGUGACACGGGCCAGACGCCGACGGGAGGCAGCUGUGGGGAAGAGUGAACAAUGGGCGCAAGCCUGAUUCAGCCAUGCCGCGUGUAGGAAGAAGGCCGUCGGGUUGUAGAGUACUUUCAGCGGGGAGGCGUUACCAGCAGAAGAAGCACCGGCUAACUCCGUGCCAGCAGCCGCGGUAAUAC